CUAAUCUCUGUAAUUGGGAAAGAGAUGAUCUGUAACCUGCUUUACUCCUGAGCUGAUUGAGAGGAACAGAUAAAUCAACUGGUGGAGGAAAAUACAAAACUUAAGAGACAGACCAAACAUCGUAACAUUAAAAAGCAAAGGAGGAAGAACAGACUAUAGAAAUAUUUUAAAGGAUUACGUGGAUUAGAAAAGAUGUCAAAAGCAUUAACACAUGUGAGUAUAAUGUGUGCAC
rnacentral:lncRNA from 10 species